UACGUAGGGGGCAAGCGUUGUCCGGAAUCAUUGGGCGUAAAGCGCGUGUAGGCGGCUCGAUAAGUCUGCUGUGAAAGUCCAGGGCUCAACCCUGGGAUGCCGGUGGAUACUGUCGAGCUCGAGUCCGGAAGAGGCGAGUGGAAUUCCUGGUGUAGCGGUGAAAUGCGCAGAUAUCAGGAGGAACACCAAUGGCGAAGGCAGCUCGCUGGGACGUGACUGACGCUGAGACGCGAAAGCGUGGGGAGCAAACAGGAUUAGAACUCCGAG
rnacentral:rRNA from 1 species